UACAGAGGUGGCAAGCGUUGUUCGGAAUUACUGGGCGUAAAGGGCGCGUAGGUGGCCUUCUUAGUCAGACGUGAAAUCCCUGGGCUUAACUCAGGAACUGCGUCUGAUACUGGAAGGCUCGAGUUCGGGAGAGGAAUGUGGAAUUCCAGGUGUAGCGGUGAAAUGCGUAGAUAUCUGGAGGAACACCGGUGGCGAAGGCGGCGUCCUGGUCCUUGACUGACGCUGAGGAGCGAAAGCAUGGGGAGCGAACAGG
rnacentral:rRNA from 1 species